GUUUAAAUGAACCCAUUCGUUCUCAGUUGCCUGGGGGGAAGAUUCAUUGGUCACUGGAACAGUAUAGUCUUUGCUUUAAGCAUGAGUGGAUCUACUUUUACUGUGGGUGUCGUGGAGGAGGAACACAACACUUCCUCAAAGUCUGCUCACAUCAUGCCUGCCAAGCCAAGGUCAACUCACAUCACGUCUGCCAAGCCACAGCCUGCUCACGUCAUGCCCGCUACUCCAGGACCUGCUCCCAACAUGCAGGUUAAGUCACAGUUUACUCAUCAUGUCUACCAAGUCAAAGCCUGAUCACAUCAUGUCUGCCAAGCCAGAGUCCUCUAGCAUCAUGUCUGCUACCCCAGGGUUUGCUCCCGUCAUGCCUGCUACGCCAAGUCCUCUUCACAUCACGUCUUCCAAGCCAGAGCCUGCCCACAUCAUGCCGGUCACUCGAGAUUCUUCUCAACAUGGCCGCCAUUGAAGAACUCCGUUGUAAGAUGGCUGCCACACAAGAGUCUCUCUACAAAAUGGCCGCCCUUCUAGAGUCUCGUCACGACAUGGCCGCCAUUCCAGAGUCUCGUCUCGUCUCGUCACAACAUGGCCGCCAUUCCAGAGUCUGCUUACGUCAUGCCAGUCAAGCCAGAGCCUUCACACAAGAUGGCAGCCACGCCUGAGUCUCGCCAUGUCAUGGCUGCCACAGAGACUGUUCCCAUGACCUCAAUUCUUACAGUAAUGGCAGUCGCCAUUUGGAGCAUGUGGGCUGCACACUUCGCUCCUGAGAUGUCUUCUGUCCACGAGUCUGCUCCCGACCGUGAAUUCACUCCAGUGCCCCCAGAGGCAGCGGUGUCCACUGCAGAAUCUCCAGAGGAGGCCGUCUACAAACUAUUUGCCUGUCCUGCCAUGGCCAAAAAGGCCAUGCACAAACUCACUGCCUGUCCUGUCACGACCACGGAGGCCCCUCAUGAACUCACUGUCUGUCCUGUCACGACCAAGUGGUCUGUCCAUGUCUCUGCUCCACCAUGGCUUCCUGCUCUGCCUGCUCCACCUAGCCACCCCGCUAGGCCUGCUCCGCCAUGGCUCCGGUCCCCCUCUGCUUCAUUGUCUGUCACUGCUCCACAGCCCAGGUCCCCCUCUGUUCCAUUGUCAUCUGAACCUGCCUCUUAUUCACGAGCCUGGUCCUCCAUCCCUCCCCCUGUUCCAC
ensembl:lncRNA